rnacentral:rRNA from 1 species
AAGUUUAUCGCCCUGAGAUAAGCCCGCGUAGGAUUAGCUAGUUGGUGGGGUAAAGGCUCACCAAGGCGACGAUCCUUAGCUGGUCUGAGAGGGAGAUCCCCCCACACUGGGACUGAGACACGGCCCAGACUCCUACGGGAGGCAGCAGUGGGGAAUUUUGGACAAUGGGCGAAAGCCUGAUCCAGCAAUGCCGCGUGCAGGAAGAAGGCCUUCGGGUUGUAAACUGCUUUUGUACGGAACGAAAAGGCUCUUUCUAAUAAAGAGGGCCCAUGACGGUACCGUAAGAAUAAGCACCGGCUAACUACGUG